GACGAACGCUGGCGGCGUGCUUAACACAUGCAAGUCGAGCGGAGCGGCGAACGGGUGAGUAACGCGUGAGUAACUGCCCCCCUCUCUGGGAUAACAGUUGGAAACGGCUGCUAAUACCGGAUAUUGGGGGAUGACUCGCGUCCUAUCAGCUUGUUGGUGUGGUAGUGGCCCACCAAGGCGACGACGGGUAGCCGGCCUGAGAUGGGGACCGGCCCCAUUGGGCUGAGAGACGGCGCAGACUCCUACGGGAGGCAGCGGGGGGGAAUAUUGCACAAUGGGGGAGACCGUAAUGCAGCAACGCCGCGGGCGGGAUGACUGCCUUCGGGUUGUGAACCGCUUUCAGCCAUGACGCGGUAGUGGCAGAAGAAGCACCGGCUAACUACGUGCCAGCAGCCGCGGUAAUUC
rnacentral:rRNA from 1 species